rnacentral:rRNA from 1 species
AUUGAACGCUGGCGGCAUGCCUUACACAUGCAAGUCGAACGGUAACGGGCCUUCGGGUGCCGACGAGUGGCGAACGGGUGAGUAAUGCAUCGGAACGUACCUUUCAGUGGGGGAUAACGUAGCGAAAGUUACGCUAAUACCGCAUAUUCUGUGAGCAGGAAAGCAGGGGAUCGCAAGACCUUGCGCUGAUUGAGCGGCCGAUGUCAGAUUAGCUAGUUGGUGAGGUAAAGGCUCACCAAGGCGACGAUCUGUAGCGGGUCUGAGAGGAUGAUCAGCCACACGGGAACUGAGACACGGUCCAGACUCCUACGGGAGGCAGCAGUGGGUAAUUUUGGACAAUGGGGGCAACCCUGAUCCAGCCAUGCCGCGUGAGUGAAGAAGGCCUUCGGGUUGUAAAGCUCUUUCGGCCGGGAAGAAAUCGUAUGGGCUAAUACCCUGUGCGGAUGACGGUACCGGCAUAAGAAGCACCGGCUAACUACGUGCCAGCCGCCGCAGUAAGAC